GUUUUCAUAGAAACGAAUUUAAUUCGGCUUGGUUAUUGUAAUUAAUUAAUUAAUUAAUUGGUUAUUUUAUCGUAGUAAUGUACUAGGGGAUUAGCUUUAGUAUAAAUUAUUAUAAAAAUUUAAAGGUUACUCAGUAGGUAGGAUUAGAAGUUUUCAUCCUUGUAAGAAUGUUAUAAUUGGUUUUGUUGAAUGUUUUAUUUUUAUUUGUUUUAAGGUUUUUAUAUGAAUUUAUUUUGUAAUUUUAGUUGAUUAGUAAAAAUGAUAAAAUUAGUAUAGGAAAAUUUAUUGUUAAUGGUAAGUUUAAGGUUGAUAAAAGGAAUUCGGCAAAUAAUUUUUCACCUGUUUAUUAAAAACAUGGCCUUUUGAUUAUAAUUUAAGGUCUCGCCUGCCCGAUGAGGAGUUGAAUGGCCGCGGUACUCU
rnacentral:rRNA from 1 species